UGUUAAUAUAUUAACCAAUCGACUGGUCCAUGGAAAAUUCUAAAAUGCAUAAUUAAAUAGAAAUAAAAUGAAUAGAAAACUAUAGGGAUCCUCCAAUAACUCAGCUCUACCAUCGAGUGUAAUAAUAUUAUCCCGUGGAUCAAGAAUUACCAAGUAUUGUAGGAUUCCUCGCUUCUACAAUGAGAUAAUAAAAUAUGAGAAACCAUUUUAAAUCCACGAAGCAAUUCAUAAUCACAGGAUAACAGAGACAUUAAAUGAAAAUAAAAAGUAAUUUUACCUAUCGGAGCUCACGAAAAUGACUUCAAAAUCGUGUCCUCUUUCUCGAAUUCGUUGAGAAACCUCGAUUGAAAUUUCUACUAAAGAAGAAAAAUUCUACACGAAUAAACACCCUUGAAACAAUGUCGAAGUUCCUCAUGUAACAUUGGCUCAUUGCUGUCGCGAGCACCACAAGGCAGCAAAGGUCCAUCUUCCAGGGCAGCUUUUGGAUGUGGUGGUUUCCAAGGGAAUUCGGCGCCAGUAGGAUCGGCAAUGAAAUAAAGCGGUUUAAUGAGAAUGAAUUGCAAAAGGUUUAAAAUUGUCCGGAAGAGAACAAUAAUUCCGUAUGGAUGCUUUAACAGAAGUUUCGAAGAUCGUACGAGACAAGGAUGGAGGGAUGGAUGAUGAAUGGAUACAUAUCCGAUGAAAUACGAGAAGAAAAACUCACAAUAAAAAAAAAAGCAGAAUGAAUUGAAGAAGAGGUAGAAAUACGUUGAGAUUUAUCGAUUGUGCGAGGCUUAUCGCGAACGAGCAACGAACAAUGCACAAAUCAUACGAGAACAAGAAGAAGAAAAAAGAAAAAAAGGAGAUAGAAAGAGAUAAAGGAAAUGUUCAACUUGGUCUUCUCAUUGGUAGUCUUAAAAAAAAAAAAACGUUACAACCCCGAAGGUAGUAGUAGGUGGUGUAAAGGAUAAGAAGGAGUGUAGGAAAAAGGGAGCGGUGGUGUCUGCCGACAAUGAGUACUGUCUCUCCUGUCAGGUCGCGUGAUUACAGCCAAGGAUGAGAAGAAAAAGGAAAAGGGCUCUUCUACGAUACUAGCGACGGAUAUAAUGUCAAAGGGUCUACGCAUUCUUCGAGUAGACAACAACAUGGUGCAGUUCUGACAACAGCAAUAAUAGUAACGGCAAAAGUAGUAACAGCAGUAGCGGGCGAAUGAGAAAGCUAUUUGCGGAAGAUAUGGGUCGGCUACCCCGAAUGGGAAAGACUGCCGUUGGCUGUUGCUGACUGCUGUUGCUGCUGCUACUGCUGCUGCUGCUGCUGCUACUAUUGCUAUUGCUAUUGCUAUACUGAUAUAUUCCUACUGGCGCUGAGCUGACUCUUUUUCUCAAACGUUGAUGCAAAGCAAACUUCCAGGGUCCAAGAAGAUGAACGUGAGCAACAACGCGUGGGCUUAUUACGCCGUUGAAGAAGCGACCGUCGUCGUGCUAGGUGGCCCUACGACAUUGCAAGCUAGUUUGAUAGGGAGACUGGAUAAGCAGAGAAGGAAACGAGGGAGAAAGCUAAUCGACGAGGACGUUCAUACGAGAUAAAUUAAACUCUAUCUCGCCUUACGUGUUUCCUUCACUUUUACUCUCUUCAAUUUCAUUAUGUUUUAUGUAAACAACAAAAUCUAUGACAAUGAUAAAAAAGAGUGCAUAAAGAGGAACGUUCAUUUCUAUAAUGAGAAAGAAAAAAAGGAGACGACGACGACGACGACGACACGGUCUUUCUCGUCAUUUUUCUUUCUCUUUUUCUUUCUUCAAUCGUCGAAUCGCAUCGCUUCGGUGGAUAUCACCGGACGAAGAGGAGACAAGGAUGACAACGAGGACGACGACCACGACAACGACAACAACGAAGAAGAAAAGAAGAGGAUAUAUCAGUGUCGGCUUUAUUUCUCGGUCUAAUAAUUUGAAAUGGAGGAAAAAAGUAGCGGAGUGGAGAGAAGACUACUUGACAUUAAUUGCGCGCGAACCAUUACCGUUAACUUUCUUCGCGUUUCCGAUCGAAGAAGUCUCAGCAUACAUAUGCAUCGAGGUGAGCCAAUAGCCAACCUCGAGUGCUGCUCUGGCUUUGUCAAACGAUUUUUCCCAAAGGAAAAAUUGUCUCGGACUAUGAAGACAAGAAGAAAAGAAAAGAAAAGAAAAGAAAUAAAGAUAAAGAAAGAAAGGAAAUUAAAAAGGGAAAGGAUAAAUCGCUUUUCUUGUUACUUCAUAGGAAGGGAUAUGUUUUUAUCUAAAAAAAAAAAAAUAAGGAAAAAUAUAAUGUAAGUUCAAAGAUUCUGUCACUUCGUUUGUGAAUUUUGUCAAAGGUACAUAUAAAGAGAAAGGUCGGCCUUUAUAGCAACCCUUCGACGAUUAUUUCGCGUGUGUCGUUCGUUUGGGGAGACUUUAAUAAAAUCGCUCCGAAAAUAGUGUAGUACCCUGUAGGCAGUUUUAACGGCGUGCGUGCGUGCAUGCGUGCGUGCAAGAAAAGUAAAAGAAAUAUAAGAAUAAGGACCUACACUCUCGUGUGUACCUUGGCGUGUUACACACGAAUAUGUUGUGUCGUGCGUUAUCGUUACGUAUUUUUCGUUGAACACACGCACCUGCUUUUAGAGUAGUUUCUAGAAAUAUGAUGGAAAGUCCAAGAAAUCAUUUGGAAACAUAUUUCAAUGUAAGGAAAAAAAAAUAGAAAUGUUUUAAAUAAGGUGCAGGUAUUUGGAUAGUUCCUCUUGCAUUCUUCUCUACUUUUGAUACUAUGUAUACGAUUUUUAGGAAGUGUGCAAGGGAAAAAUAAAAAUAUUUACGAUAAA
rnacentral:lncRNA from 1 species